AGAAGAGGAUAAAAAAGCGAGGAAGGAAAUCGAUAGACAACACAAUGGUCGGCAGGCGAGGCCUUCAACAGGGGACACAAGACAGGGAAGCCAUAUUUGGUUAUAGUUUAGAGUUGAGCCUCUUAGUCUAUCAAUGAGGUCUUCCAUGGACCUGACGUAGGAAAUCUUACAGAUUAGUGGUUUAUAAGUAGGUAACAUAGAUUUUAAGUGUUUCGCAAUGCAGAUGCGUGUAGCAGUGCAGAUCCCAUGUACAAGUCUGAGUACACAACCAACCUCACCACAGUCUUUGUUACAAAGUAGUGAAU